rnacentral:rRNA from 1 species
CACGUAGGGCGCGAGCGUUGUCCGGAAUUAUUGGGCGUAAAGAGCUCGUAGGCGGCCUGUUGCGUCCGCUGUGAAAGCCCGGGGCUUAACCCCGGGUCGGCAGUGGAUACGGGCAGGCUAGAGGUAGGUAGGGGAGAAUGGAAUUCCCGGUGUAGCGGUGAAAUGCGCAGAUAUCGGGAGGAACACCGGUGGCGAAGGCGGUUCUCUGGGCCUUACCUGACGCUGAGGAGCGGAAAGCGUAGGGUAGCGAAACAGGAUUGAGAAACC